rnacentral:rRNA from 1 species
CCUACGGGAGGCAGCAGUGAGGAAUAUUGGUCAAUGGCCGCAAGGCUGAACCAGCCAUGCCGCGUGAAGGAAGAAGGAUCUAUGGUUUGUAAAUUCCUUUUAUAGGGGAGUAAAGGUAUCCAUGUGUGGAUAUUUGCAUGUACCCUAUGAAUAAGCAUCGGCUAACUACGUGCCAGCAGCCGCGGUAAUACGGAGGAUGCGAGCGUUAUCCGGAUUUAUUGGGUUUAAAGGGAGCGUAGGUUGUUUUUUAAGUCAGCGGUGAAAGUUUGUGGCUCAACCAUAAAAUUGCAGUUGAAACUGGAAGACUUGAGUAUGUUAGAGGUAGGCGGAAUGCGUGGUGUAGCGGUGAAAUGCGUAGAUAUCAGGAAGAAUACCGAUUGCGAAGGCAGCUUACUGGGCCAUAACUGACGCUGAGGCGCGAAAGCGUGGGGAGCAAACAGGAUUAGAUACCCGUGUAGUC